rnacentral:lncRNA from 1 species
GAUGCGGGGAGGAUGAGGAUGCGGGGAGGAUGAGGAUGCAGGGAGGAUGAAGAUGCGGGGAGGAUGAGGAUGCAGGGAGGAUGAGAAUGCAGGGAGGAUGAGGAUGCAGGGAGGAUGAGGAUGAAGGGAGGAUAAGGAUGCAGGGAGGAUGAGGAUGCAGGGAGCAUGAGGAUGCAGGGAGGACGAAGAUGUGCUGAGCAUGUGACCAGAAGAAACCUCACACUGAGAACACACAUGAAGCAGAGCAAGACUCAGCUGCCAAGCUUGGGUCAUUUAUCUGAUUAUGAAUAGCCUAGCAGGGUUAUGAUGGUCUCAGAACCUGCCCAGUUUAGGUUUGUAGCUUGUUAAUAAAUUCUGAUGUCUUUGUGUCGUUUACUCAGGAGCUGUCUUAGUUAGGAUUUUACUGCUGUGAACAGACACCAUGAUCAAGACUUAAGCUGAGACAGCAACAUUCAAAAUCUCAGCAUAUCUUGCAGAGCUAAGGUGCCAGGCAUGGUGAUACACACCUGUGUCCCACCCUUUGGAACACCUGAAACCUGCUAGCUCAGGGGUGGAGCUUCCUGCUCAUUCGUUCUGCCACGCCCACUGCUGGAACCUGCCGCUUUGCUGUUCGGAGACACACACGUGCUCACCUUUCUACUGGAUCCGAGAUUAUUCGGCGGGAAUCGGGUCCCCUCCCCCUUCCUUCAUAACUAGUGUCG